UCUAGAACCACCAGUUCCGUCUAGACCAAGUUUCAGUAUCAGGUCCAACAGUCAAGAGGAGAAAGUAGGCGAUUAUGAUGUUGUCCAACCAAAGUCAUCCAAUCGAACGUCGAUUGGUCUAGCCAGCACUGACUUAGAAAAAGAACUAAAGAAUCUAUUGGCAGAAAAAGUCUUGGAAAUUCAAACAAAGGAUAAGGAGAAUCGAUCAUUGCAGGAGCAAAACAAGAUUCUCCAGUCCAAGCUCGAUAAACAAACUAAAAAACUUUCUGAGAUAGAUCAAACAUUGGAGGCACUGAGAGACGAAGAAGAUUGCUAUGACUUAAUGGUACCAGGUCAUAAGAAUACCUCGAAGCAUUCACAUGGUAAAGAACAUCACAUUUUACCAAA